UGAGGAAUAUUGGUCAAUGGACGGAAGUCUGANCCAGCCAAGUAGCGUGCAGGAUGACGGCCCUAUGGGUUGUAAACUGCUUUUGUAUGGGGAUAAAGUUAGGGACGUGUCCCUAUUUGCAGGUACCAUACGAAUAAGGACCGGCUAAUUCCGUGCCAGCAGCCGCGGUAAUACGGAAGGUCCAGGCGUUAUCCGGAUUUAUUGGGUUUAAAGGGAGCGUAGGCUGGAGAUUAAGUGUGUUGUGAAAUGUAGACGCUCAACGUCUGAAUUGCAGCGCAUACUGGUUUCCUUGAGUACGCACAACGUUGGCGGAAUUCGUCGUGUAGCGGUGAAAUGCUUAGAUAUGACGAAGAACUCCGAUUGCGAAGGCAGCUGACGGGAGCGCAACUGACGCUUAAGCUCGAAGGUGCGGGUAUCAAACAGGAUUAGAUACCCUGGUAGUCCGCACAGUAAACGAUGGAUGCCCGCUGUUGGUACCUGGUAUCAGCGGCUAAGCGAAAGCAUUAAGCAUCCCACCUGGGGAGUACGCCGGCAACGGUG
rnacentral:rRNA from 1 species